rnacentral:tRNA from 1 species
UGUAAAGGGAGGACUAAGCCCCAUGAAUGGAAUUACAACCCACCGCCUGACUUCAGCCACCUUUAC